GUGAAUAACUAAGCAGUUAUUUCAUUGGAUAAGAUUGCAUUGGUUCUGCUGAGCAGUAACACAGUCUUGUUUCUGGGAAGACAUUCACGAGAGAAGAUCAUUGGUGAGCAGCUUUAAUAUCAACAUCUAGAAUGGAGUUUAAAGCACUCUUCUUCCUCUUACUAGCAGGUCCUGAAGACAAGACACUUUUAGAAACUGGCACAUGGUAGCUCUCCUGAGUUGUUCGUCUUGGAGCACAAGCAAUCAUAUACAAUACAACAAUAGAGAAUUUAAGAAGAAAGAAGGCAUUUCAAUAUUAUUUAUCUUAUGAAUGAGUGGGACACCCAGCUCCAUUCAUUAUUAUGGCUGCUCUGCCAUGACACUACUCAACCAAACCCACUGGGUUUAGCCCUAAACACAGUCCACGAUGGGAUUGCUGCCUUACACCCAAUCAAGGUGUAAGGCAGCAAUGGAUCUGCCAAACCUGCAUCCCGGGAAUACCUGCUACAGUAAUAUUAGCUGGUGUUCUCUUAGCCAUUCCUAAUUAUUUUAAGACACAAGAGUUGGGAUGCAAGAUUUGCUGAAAGUGCUAAAACUACUGUACCUUACUGUUCCGAGGACAAAACAUUUUCUAGAUGAGACUUUUUUUUCAUUAUUACCCCAGGCAGAAGCUUGUUGUUACGGUUGUACAUGUAAGAAAUCCCUGGGCUUACGGAGACCUUUAAUGUGCCCUGACUGUGGGAAAGGAGUGCUACAAAAAGAUAGACACUACAGUUACUUCUUGGUUAUGCCAUUGCAAACACAAUUUAAAAGCCUACUGGAAAAUCAAAACAUACCUAGUUUAAUUAAUAAAAGUAAAAGUCAAGAGGAUCUGUAUUGCGAUAUAUGUCUGAUGGAGAAAUAUACAGGUAUGAGAAUUUCCACAACUUCAUUGCAGCCUAUGAAAAUUUGUCGUUGUCUGAAUUGAAUUUGAACACAGAACAAGAGCAGCAGUAAAACAUUUUGUUUCUGAUGCAGUUGAACAAGUAAUGAGCAAUGAUGUCAAACAAUGUAAUGGAUUGUUUGGGUGUGGUUCCUGUGAGCAUGAAGGAACUGAAGUAGCCAAGGGCAGUGGGCGUGUAUGAGUAUAUCCAAUGAAAACUUGCCAAAUAGGAGAACUUGUGAGAAGACGGUUAGAAAUGCUGAAGCUGCCUUAGAAAAAGGAAGUGCUGAGCAUGAUGUUAAAGGAACUAGCAAAUGAAUGUUGUUGCCAUCGUGUGAUGUGAUCAAGGGGUCUGUGCCAGACCAUACUGCAGUACUGCUACGUGUUCCACAUAUCAGAUGUAGAAAAACUGGAUAAUGUAAUUCUGAAACUAAAACCCCCACUGGAAGUUGUUUGUAGUCCUCGUUCCUUGGAAUCAAGGGAGUAUGAAAAGACAUCGAGCGGCAUACCUUUUUGCUGCUGUAUUCUCCAGAAGCACUUCAGGGUGAUCUACCCAAUCCACAUUUCAAGCACUGGUUCAUAAUAGUCAAUGGAAUGAAUUUGCUUCUUUCUGACACAAUCAGUCAGGGUGACCUCCACAAGGCUAAAUUGUGCUUUCUGAAAUUAGGCACAUUGAUACCAGAAUUGCAUGGAGUAGAGAACUGCUCAUACCUUCUUACACAUUUAGCUGAAUCUGCUCACGGCUGUGGCCCACUGUGGGCUACUUCUGCAUUUGUGUAUGAAGAUGCAUAUCUGUUCAUGGAAUAAGAUCAGUACCAGAGCAGAUUUUUCACAUAUUUUUGGCCCGACAAAUGUCACUUUUUGCUGCAAAACGCUUUCAGAAUGAUGAUCUCACUUUACAGCAAACCUUUGGUAAAUUGACUGAAUCUCAUUUACCUGCACAAACAUCUAGCCAGUUUUCUUUGGCUGUCCAGUUUUUCACAACCUGAGUCUUGAAGAAACCUUUGCAGUUGAAAAUGUAUUGGGUGAGGCAAUUGCAGCUAGCUGAGGAAUAUUUUAUAACAGAGUCCUUGUUAAAGGAACGAUUUACACAACACAAGAGUAUUCAUCCAGAUUUCAAAGGGACAAUUCAGGGGGAUUUCCUCCCAAUGACAAGGCAGGUGUUAUCAAUAAGGUAACAUGUUUAAAAUGUUGCUAUUGUUUAAUUGAUUGCCAAUGUGUAGAAAGGCAUAUAUUAUUUAUUAAAUGCCUGCAAACAUGCUGUGAAAAUGUUGAGACGCCCCAAUUUAAGGUUUGUGAAGUGCUUGUAAGAGAAGAUUCAGAAGAUUCCUGCUCACUGGUAAAUCCAUCUCGGUUACAUAUGUGAGCAGGGGAUUAUGGGAA